rnacentral:rRNA from 1 species
CCUACGGGAGGCAGCAGUGAGGAAUAUUGGUCAAUGGACGAGAGUCUGAACCAGCCAAGUAGCGUGAAGGAUGACUGCCCUAUGGGUUGUAAACUUCUUUUAUAUGGGAAUAAAAUGUUCCACGUGUGGGAUUUUGUAUGUACCAUAUGAAUAAGGAUAGGCUAACUCCGUGCCAUCAGCCGCGGUAAUACGGAGGAUCCGAGCGUUAUCCGGGUUUAUUGGGUUUAAAGGGAGCGUAUGUGGAUUGUUAAGUCAGUUGUGAAAGUUUGCGGCUCAACCGUAAAAUUGUAGUUGAAACUGGCAGUCUUGAGUACAGUAGAGGUGGGCGGAAUUCGUGGUGUAGCGGUGAAAUGCUUAGAUAUCACGAAGAACUCCGAUUGCGAAGGCAGCUCACUGGACUGCAACUGACACUGAGGCUCGAAAGUGUGGGUAUCAAACAGGAUUAGAUACCCGGGUAGUC